CGCCAUUUAAAGUGGUACGCGAGCUGGGUUUAGAACGUCGUGAGACAGUUCGGUCCCUAUCUGCCGUGGGCGCUGGAGAAUUGAGGGGGGCUGCUCCUAGUACGAGAGGACCGGAGUGGACGCAUCACUGGUGUUCGGGUUGUCAUGCCAAUGGCACUGCCCGGUAGCUAAAUGCGGAAGAGAUAAGUGCUGAAAGCAUCUAAGCACGAAACUUGCCCCGAGAUGAGUUCUCCCUGAGACUAUAAGUCUCCUGAAGGAACGUUAAAGACGAUGACGUUGAUAGGCCGGGUGUGUAAGCGCAGCGAUGCGUUGAGCUAACCGGUACUAAUGAACCGUGAGGCUUAACCUUA
rnacentral:rRNA from 1 species